rnacentral:rRNA from 1 species
AGGAUGAACGCUGGCGGCGUGCUUAACACAUGCAAGUCGAGCGGAGAUUAUUCAGUUGAGAGCUUCGGCAGGAUUCUGAAUAAUCUUAGCGGCGGACGGGUGAGUAACGUGUGGGCAACCUGCCCUGUACUGUGGAAUAAUCACUGGAAACGGUGACUAAUACCGCAUGUCAUUGCAAGAGGGCAUCCUCUUGCAAGAAAAGGAUUUAUUCGGUACAGGAUGGGCCCGCAUCUGAUUAGCUAGUUGGUGAGAUAACAGCCCACCAAGGCAACGAUCAGUAGCCGACCUGAGAGGGUGAUCGGCCACAUUGGGACUGAGACACGGCCCAAACUCCUACGGGAGGCAGCAGUGGGGAAUAUUGCACAAUGGGCGAAAGCCCUGAUGCAGCAACGCCGCGUGAAGGAUGAAGGGUUUCGGCUCGUAAACUUCUAUCAAUAGGGACGAAAAAAUGACGGUACCUAAAUAAGAAGCCCCGGCUAACUACGUGCCAGCCGCCGC